UAAGGAAUAUUGGUCAAUGGGCGAAAGCCUGAACCAGCCAUGCCGCGUGUGUGAUGAAGGCCCUUUGGGUUGUAAAGCACUUUUAGAUAGGAAGAAUGACAGGGAUUCAUCCCUGGAGCGACGGUACUAUCAGAAUAAGCACCGGCUAACUCCGUGCCAGCAGCCGCGGUAAUACGGAGGGUGCAAGCGUUAUCCGGAAUCACUGGGUUUAAAGGGUACGUAGGCGGUAAUAUAAGUCAGACGUCAAAGGCUGUGGCUAAACCAUAGUACGCGUUUGAAACUAUAUCACUUGAAUAUGUUCGAGGUGCACGGAAUGCGUCAUGUAGCGGUGAAAUGCAUAGAUAUGACGUAGAACACCAAUUGCGAAGGCAGUGCACUAGGGCAUUAUUGACGCUGAGGUACGAAAGCGUGGGUAGCGAACAGG
rnacentral:rRNA from 1 species